rnacentral:rRNA from 1 species
UAAUACGGAGGGAGCUAGCGUUGUUCGGAAUUACUGGGCGUAAAGCGCGCGUAGGCGGUCCAUCAAGUCAGAGGUGAAAGCCCGGGGCUCAACCCCGGAACUGCCUUUGAAACUGGCGGACUAGAAUCUUGGAGAGGUCAGUGGAAUUCCGAGUGUAGAGGUGAAAUUCGUAGAUAUUCGGAAGAACACCAGUGGCGAAGGCGACUGACUGGACAAGUAUUGACGCUGAGGUGCGAAAGCGUGGGGAGCAAACAGG